rnacentral:rRNA from 1 species
UGCAAGUCGAGCGGAUGAAGGGAGCUUGCUCCUGGAUUCAGCGGCGGACGGGUGAGUAAUGCCUAGGAAUCUGCCUGGUAGUGGGGGAUAACGUCCGGAAACGGGCGCUAAUACCGCAUACGUCCUGAGGGAGAAAGUGGGGGAUCUUCGGACCUCACGCUAUCAGAUGAGCCUAGGUCGGAUUAGCUAGUUGGUGGGGUAAAGGCCUACCAAGGCGACGAUCCGUAACUGGUCUGAGAGGAUGAUCAGUCACACUGGAACUGAGACACGGUCCAGACUCCUACGGGAGGCAGCAGUGGGGAAUAUUGGACAAUGGGCGAAAGCCUGAUCCAGCCAUGCCGCGUGUGUGAAGAAGGUCUUCGGAUUGUAAAGCACUUUAAGUUGGGAGGAAGGGCAGUAAGUUAAUACCUUGCUGUUUUGACGUUACCAACAGAAUAAGCACCGGCUAACUUCGUGCCAGCAGCCGCGGUAAUACGAAGGGUGCAAGCGUUAAUCGGAAUUACUGGGCGUAAAGCGCGCGUAGGUGGUUCAGCAAGUUGGAUGUGAAAUCCCCGGGCUCAACCUGGGAACUGCAUCCAAAACUACUGAGCUAGAGUACGGUAGAGGGUGGUGGAAUUUCCUGUGUAGCGGUGAAAUGCGUAGAUAUAGGAAGGAACACCAGUGGCGAAGGCGACCACCUGGACUGAUACUGACACUGAGGUGCGAAAGCGUGGGGAGCAAACAGGAUUAGAUACCCUGGUAGUCCACGCCGUAAACGAUGUCGACUAACCCGUUGGGAUCCUUGAGAUCUUAGUGGCGCAGCUAACGCGAUAAGUCGACCGCCUGGGGGAGUACGGCCGCAAGGUUAAAACUCAAAUGAAUUUGACGGGGGCCCGCACAAGCGGUGGGAGCAUGUGGGUUAAUUCGAAGCAACGCGAAGAACCUUACCUGGCCUUGACAUGCUGAGAACUUUCCAGAGAUGGAUGGGUGCCUUCGGGAACUCAAACCAGGGGGUUGAUGGCUGUCCUCAGCUCGGGCCGGGAAAGGUGGGUUAAGCCCGAAACAGGCGAACCCUUGGCCUUAAUUACCGCCCCUCGGGGGGCGACUAAAGAAAUGCGGUGAAAACCCGAGGAAG